CGGGAUAUUACAGUGAAUUAAUGACUAGAUAGUAAUAAUGAGCAUUUAUAAGCCAGUAGAUAGCCCGACUUAUCGAAAACCGCGUAUUGCGAACUUUGAUUUAAGCAGAAGAAGAUCCUUUACUUCUUGUUACCACCCUGAUUCUCUUGACUUUGUUUAUGAUCCUCUUCUGAAUUUGGGAAUUGGAUCUCGAAGAUUAUCAUCACCUUUGGAUACAUUCCAUUCUAAAGAUAUAAAUUC